CCUACGGGAGGCAGCAGUAGGGAAUAUUGCUCAAUGGGGGAAACCCUGAAGCAGCAACGCCGCGUGGAGGAUGACGGCUUUCGGAUUGUAAACUCCUUUUGUUAGAGAAGAUAAUGACGGUAUCUAACGAAUAAGCACUGGCUAACUCCGUGCCAGCAGCCGCGGUAAUACGGCGGGUGCAAGCGUUACUCGGAAUCACUGGGCGUAAAGAGGGCGUAGGCGGGAUAGCAAGUCAGAUGUGAAAUCCUAUGGCUUAACCAUAGAACUGCAUUUGAAACUGUUAUUCUAGAGUAUGGGAGAGGUAGGUGGAAUUCUUGGUGUAGGGGUAAAAUCCGUAGAGAUCAAGAAGAAUACUCAUUGCGAAGGCGACCUGCUAGAACAUAACUGACGCUGAUGCGCGAAAGCGUGGGGAGCAAACAGGAUUAGAUACCCGGGUAGUC
rnacentral:rRNA from 1 species